AUUUGUGUCACACCAUUUCAUGUCCAAUUUAUUGAUUUUUGUUACCAUGCCAUAUGAACUCAAAAUGAUCUGAAUUUUUGCAUGUUGAAUCUUCUGGAUGUUAAGUAUGAAUGUGAAUCUUUGUGGAGUUUUUGAGUGCAUUUCCAAUUUGAUUGAGAUUUUCUCCCCUGUUUGACCAAAUGUGGACUUCUUGUGUGACAUGAUUUUAU
rnacentral:lncRNA from 1 species